rnacentral:lncRNA from 1 species
ACAAUUCUGAAUUAAAUGGAAGUACUGCCUCAAUAUCUCACUUCAACUAAAAAUAUAAAGCAAGCAUUCAAUAGAAGAAAUUCAAGCCGAUACAAUAUCUCUUUCACCCUGCUCUCAACUCCAAUUGGCCUUCCAUGAAACCAAUUCUUCACUUCAAACAAAAUAGCUCACCAAUCUAGCAGGAAAACGAAUACUGUCCAAAGUUGCCAUUGAAAAUAACCUCCAACUUCAUGUGUCCAUUCCACAAGUUAAGGGAAAAAGCAAUCUCUGCCAAUUCUGGAUUUAUAUGAUGCAUUGAUAAAUCAGGAAAAAGAAGGCCAUGAGGUAAGGUUGCUAAAAAAUCACAAUGAAUCAAAAGUAAUUUACCUCUCCAGGAAGGCUAAAUUGCCAAGAGCACAUGUUUCCUCUAAAGCACCAAAAACCA